UGCCCCGUCGUCUAAUGGUAGGACAGCGGAUUCUGGUUCCGUUAGUGGGGGUUCGAAUCCUCCCGGGGCAUCCA
rnacentral:tRNA from 1 species